rnacentral:lncRNA from 1 species
UUUUUAUUUCAUAAAAGGAUCAAGAAAGAGUGACAUGCCCACCGGGGCCAGUAGCAACAAUGGAAGGUUCAAGAUAGGGAACUAUAAGGGACAUUAAUGAGAAGUCAGGCAAUACUGAAACUUGCAGUCAGAUGGCCUAUGGACAUCAUACAAAGGUGACAGCUUAGAGAUGAAGUUGAAGAGUCAACAGUGAUG